rnacentral:tRNA from 1 species
GCCGAAGUGGCGAAACUGGCAGACGCACCUGACUCAAAAUCAGGCGAGGGUUAAACCUCGUGUCGGUUCAAAUCCGACCUUCGGCA